rnacentral:lncRNA from 1 species
ACAGCAAGGCGAACCGGCUGCGGCUUGCGGGGAACUGAGGGCUGCAGCGCCCACCCUGCGCCAGAGACCAGAUAAAGAGUCAAUCUUAAGAUGUGAUGCUUUCAUGUGAAACCUGAAACAAGGUGAUCUGGGGAACCAAAGACUCUAGGACUCUUGGUGCCAACAGAGCUACUCUAUAAUCCAAAAUCUACUCUACCUCUCUUCGUUUGUAAUACCUUCAAAUAUCACACUUCAAGGUUUAGUGAGUAGGCCUAAAGAUUCUACAUGUAAUUCAAAGAAAUCUAUUCAAGUGGACGUCUAUCAACAGAUUACUUGAA